CUUGUAUCUGAGGGAGCUGACCUCACCAUUACUGAUGGAAACAACACUGACUGCCUGAUGCUGGCAAGUGAGAAAGGUAACAUGUCUAUUAUCAAAACAUCCUAUCCAUGAAAACAUGUGACAUCAACAGGCGGGGAGGAUUCGAAGAAAAACACCAAUUAUGAUAGCAUUAGAAGAGGACACUAUCAUGCGUAUCGUCUCCUUGUAUCUCAGGGCGCAGAUCUGACCAUUACUGAUGAAGACAACAGGAGAUUGCCUGUUGUUGGCAUGUGAAGGAGGUAACAUAUCCAUUGUGAAACACAUCUUAUCCAUGAAAACAUAGUGACAUCAACAAACGGGGAGGAUUAUCAGGAACAACACCAAUUAUGAUAGCAUUAAACAGAGAACACUAUCAUGUGUAUUUUCUCCUUGUAUCUGAGGGCGCAGAUCUGACCAUUACUGAUACAAACAACAGAGAUUGCCUGAUGUUGGCAUGUGAAGGAGGUAACAUAUCCAUUGUGAAACACAUCCUAUCCCUGAAAACAUGUGACAUCAACAGACGGGGAGGAAAGUCAAAACAAACACCGAUAAUGAUGGCAUUAAAGAGACGACACUAUGAUGUGUAUUCAUCUCCUUUGUAUCUGAGGGUGCCGAUCUGAC